rnacentral:lncRNA from 1 species
CUGCCCUUAGGGCAAAUUCCUACCUAUUCCUGCGGAAGCAUGUGUAUCAUUCCCCUAUGGUUUAUAACCCCUGAGUCUGGGGGUAAUGGCACGGGGACCCACCAGCUUGUCUGCCGCCAUCUGGGGUACAGUGCUGGAAGCGGGGAUACAGGGACAAAUAAGACACAGAUCCUGUUCCUAAAGAGGCUGGAGUGCAAUGGCAUGAUCUCAGCUCACUGCAACCUCUGCCUCCCGGGUUCAAGCAAUUCUCCUGUCUCAGCCUCCUGAGUAGCUGGAUUACAGAGUCUUUUCUAAGGCACCAACUACUUCCUUCAAGCAGCAGCCAGAGAUCUUUGCUUAAUGGCUGAGAAACACAGAGGAGAGACCCAGAGAGAAGGAGAAGGCCGCAUGAAGAUGGAGCAGAGACUGGAGUUAUUCAGCCAAGUCAAGGAAUGCCUGGAGCACCAGAAGCCGGAAGAGGCAAGGAAGGAUCCUCCCUUAGAGCAUUUGGAAGAGUGUGGCCCUGCCAACACCUUGACUUCAAACUUCUGGCCUCCAUAACUAUGAAAUAAAUUCUUGUUGUUUUAAGCCACCAAGUUUGUGGUAACUUCUUAC